rnacentral:rRNA from 1 species
GACGAACGCUGGCGGCGUGCUUAACACAUGCAAGUCGAACGGAAAGGCCCUGCUUUUGUGGGGUGCUCGAGUGGCGAACGGGUGAGUAACACGUGAGUAACCUGCCCUUGACUUUGGGAUAACUUCAGGAAACUGGAGCUAAUACCGGAUAGGAGCUCCUGCUCCAUGGUGGGGGUUGGAUAGUUUCGGCGGUUGGGGAUGGACUCGCGGCUUAUGAGCUUGUUGGUGGGGUAGUGGCUUACCAAGGCUUUGACGGGUCGCCGGCCCGAGAGGGUGACCGGGCACAAUGCUACUGAGAGACGGCCCAGACUCCUACGGGAGGCAGCAGGGGGGAAUAUUGCACAAUGGGAGGAAGCCUGAUGCAGCAACGCCGCGUGCGGGAUGACGGCCUUUGGGUUGUAAACCGCUUUCGCCUGUGACGAAGCGUGAGUGACGGUAAUGGGUAAAGAAGCACCGGCUAACUACGUG